CAAAUACGAUUCACUCAUAUAAUCGCGGGGAUAUGGCCCGCAAGUUUCUACCGGUUUGCCGUAAACGAACUGACUAUGAGAAGC
rnacentral:ncRNA from 1 species